AUCGAACGCUAGCGGGAUGCCUUACACAUGCAAGUCGAACGGAGUGGCGAACGGGUGAGUAAUGUAUCGGAACGUGCCCAGUAGCGGGGGAUAACUACGCGAAAGCGUAGCUAAUACCGCAUACUAUUGGAGCGGCCGAUAGCGGAGUAGCUUGUUGGUGGGGUAACGGCUCACCAAGGCGACGAUCCGUAGCUGGGUGGAGAGGACGACCAGCCAACCGGGGACUGAGACACGGCCCAGGCUCCUACGGGAGGCAGCAGUGGGGAAUUUUGGACAAUGGGGGAAAGCCUGAUCCAGCCAUGCCGCGUGUGCGAUGAAGGCCUUCGGGUUGUAAAGCACUUUUGGCAGGAAAGCGGUACCUGCAGAAUAAGCACCGGCUAACUACGUGCCAGCAGCCGCGGUAAUAC
rnacentral:rRNA from 1 species